CGUGUAAAUAAUAUUUUAAAUGAACUACAUAUUAAAAAUGUAAAUAGAUAACAUGAGAAUUCUUAUUUAAAUUACAGUUGAGAAAUAGGCAUUUACACAUAAUAUAUAAAUUUCAUAUUAUGUAAUUAGUCCUUCAUUCUAUCCAGCCAAUUCAUGUCUGUUAGAUGAACAACAUGGGUUCCGACCAGGCCGAUCAACUAUUACUAACAAUAUUGUAUUCAGUUAUUUUAUUUUUGAAUCAUUUGUUCAACAUUGACAAGUUGGCACUAUCUACACGGAUUUCUCCAAGGCCUUUGACCGAGUAAAUCAUAAUAUUUUUAUUAAGACCCUAUCUGACUGGUUUUGGUGAACCAAUUCUUUCUUUGUUCUCAUCUUAUUUAAUAAACUGAAAGCAAUGUAUACAAUUAAAUAAUACUAAUUCCAUUAUCAUUAUUCCCUCUAAAGGGGUACUUCAGGGUGCCAUUCUAUCUCCACUACUGUUUUCCAUUUUGGUUAAUAGUGCUACCUCUGGUAUACAUCAUGUUCAUCUUCUUACAUUUAAGAUGACAAAAUUAUAUGUGGAUCUUCAAAAUACCUAUGAUACCCUUCUCCUAUCUGACCUCGACCAAUUCGUACACUGGUGAAUCUCUAGGAUUGAUCCUUAAUAUCUUUAAAUGCAUUAAGAUGUCUUACUUUCGUAUCGGCAGUCCAUUUAUUGUCGAUCAUACCAUCAAUAAUAUUCCAAUUACCUCUUCUAACUUUGUUCGACACCUAGGUUUUCAUUUUUCUUCAAACGCUUCCCCCAAAAUUGCAUAUUCAAGAGAUUUGUUGCAAAGCAUAUAAACUCCUUGAAUUUAUUCAAUGGAUUUCAUCCGAGUUCAAAUUUGACAGUACGUUAAAAAUCUUUUAUUGCUCUUUAGUCCCACUUAUCCUGGAAUAUGGAACCGUCCUUUGUGACCUACAUUCAUCUAUAGAUACCAAAGUGAUUGAAAUAGUUCAACGAAAAUUCCUGUCAUUUUCACAAAUCGUCCCCCUCCCCUUAAAUAAGCCACUGGAAGAGCAUUCGUAAAUUUGAGGAACUUUGACGAUUUUUUUCGUUCGUUUUUUUCUUAGAUAUACUUACCCUAAACAAUUUUUUAGCGCAUUUUGGUAUUAUAAAUAUUUUACAAGUUUUUUUUUUG